rnacentral:rRNA from 1 species
AUAUCAAUAAGCGGAGGAAAAGAAACCAACAGGGAUUGCCUUAGUAACGGCGAGUGAAGCGGCAACAGCUCAAAUUUGAAAUCUGGCCCCGGCGGGGUCUGAGUUGUAAUUUGUAGAGGAUGCUUCGGGCAAGGUUACGGUUUAAGUCCCUUGGAACAGGGUGUCAGAGAGGGUGAGAGUCCCGUCUUUAACCGUGUACCGCGUCCAUGUGAAGCUCCUUCGACGAGUCGGGUUGUUUGGGAAUGCAGCUCAAAAUGGGUGGUAAAUUUCAUCUAAAGCUAAAUACCGGCCAGAGACCGAUAGCGCACAAGUAGAGUGAUCGAAAGAUGAAAAGCACUUUGAAAAGAGAGUUAAACAGCAUGUGAAAUUGUUGAAAGGGAAGCGCUUGCAACCAGACUUGUGGGCAGUGGUUCAGCCGUUAUUCUUAACGGUGCAUUCUACUGUUUCCAGGCCAGCAUCGGUUUAGGUAGCUAGUUAAAGGCUGGGGGAACGUAUCUGCCCUUCGGGACAGACUUAUAGCCCUUGGUGGCAUCUGGCUUACCCGGACCGAGGAACGCGCUUCGGCACGGAUGCUGGCGUAAUGGUUGUAAGCGGCCCGUCUUGAAACACGGACCAAGGAGUCUAACAUCUAUGCGAGUGUUUGGGUGUCAAACCCCUGCGCGUAAUGAAAGUGAACGGAGGUAGGAGCCCUUGGGCGCACUAUCGACCGAUCCUGAUGUCUUCGGAUGGAUUUGAGUAAGAGCAUAGCUGUUGGGACCCGAAAGAUGGUGAACUAUGCCUGAAUAGGGUGAAGCCAGAGGAAACUCUGGUGGAGGCUCGCAGCGGUUCUGACGUGCAAAUCGAUCGUCAAAUUUGGGUAUAGGGGCGAAAGACUAAUCGAACCAUUUAAUUGAAGCAGCCACUAGGUGGUUCAGAUCAUCAGCCCGUGAUGGGUAACACCCUUAGUAUGAGUAGGGACUUUUUGGUUAAACACCUACAGCAGCCACGGUUAAGGUCCAGGCUGUCUACAGACUAAAGGAGGGUGGUCGGUUAGUUCAAGCUUAACCGAUGAUAACAUAGUCGGAAAGAGAUGGCUCGUCAAAGACGUCGCCAGAGGUCUCUUUUGCUGGUAGCUGGUUCCUGC